rnacentral:rRNA from 1 species
UAAAAAUUAAAUUACUAAAAAGGUUUUUUUGUCUUUUAGAGAAUUUUCUUUGGCUUUAGUAUUUUAUUGAAAGAGUUAUUUUUGUAAUAGUUUAUUAGUACUGUAAAGUAAUGUUGAAAUAUUUUGAAAAAUUAUUUUAUUAUAAGCAUACUGUUUGUAGUACCUUUUGUAUCAGGGAUGAUUAAUUUUAUUUAAUUUAAACUGUCUCAUAAGUCUCAUUAAUAACCUUCUGUAAAGAAAUUUUAUCCGUUUAUAAAGGUAUCUAGUUUUUUGAGAUAUAAAUUUAAUUUAAAAUCAAUUAUUUAUUUACUUUACUUUUAAAGUGACUAUUUAUUGGUUUAAAAAUCAUAGGGGAUAAGCUCUAUUUUUAUCUAAAAAUGUCUAAUAUUUCAAAAUUAGUAGGGUUAAAAUCAUCCAUCUUUUUAUUACGUUAUAGCUUAUUUUGUUAAAUUUUUGAUUUGGUUUAUUUUAGUGUUCUAUCAAAAUAUUAUAAUUAAUUUACGAUUAUAAGUAAUCAUGAUUAAAUUAGUAUAAUUAUUAUUGGUUAAAUAUGUUACUUUUAGUUUAAUUUUAUUUUAAGGAAUUCGGCAAAAUUAGUGUUCGCCUGUUUAUCAAAAACAUGUCUUCUUGUAAGAAUAGGAAGUCUGGCCUGCCCAGUGAAGUAUGUUUAACGGCCGCGGUACAUUGACCGUGCKAAGGUAGCAUAAUCAUUAGUCUUUUAAUAGGGGACUGGAAUGAAGGGUUCAACGAAAUACUAACUGUCUCAAACUAAUAUAUUUUAAUUUGAUUUUUGAGUUAAAAAGCUUAAAUUUUAUUGAAGGACGAGAAGACCCUAUAGAGCUUUAUAGUUAAUGUUAAUGAUCAUUUUAUUUUAUUUUUAUUUAAUUAAUAUUAGCUUUUUUGUUGGGGUGACAACAAAUAUAUAAACAACUUUUUUAUUUACACUACAUUUAUUUAUGGUUAUUAGAUCCAUUAUUAUUGAUUAUUAGAAUGAGUUACCUUAGGGAUAACAGCGUAAUCUUCCUUCAGAGUUCAUAUUUACAGGGAGGGUUGCGACCUCGAUGUUGGAUUAAGAUUAUAAUUAGGUGUAGCAGCUUAAUAUAUAGGUCUGUUCGACCUUUAAAUUACG